rnacentral:tRNA from 1 species
GGUUUUAUAAUUUAAUAAAGAAUUUUAAUUUGCAAAAUUAACAGUGUUAUUCUAAGACCU